GUGAGUAACGCGUGGGUAACCUGCCUCAUACAGGGGGAUAACGGUUAGAAAUGACUGCUAAUACCGCAUAAGCGCACAGUACCGCAUGGUACGGUGUGAAAAACUCCGGUGGUAUGAGAUGGACCCGCGUCUGAUUAGCUAGUUGGUGGGGUAACGGCCCACCAAGGCGACGAUCAGUAGCCGACCUGAGAGGGUGACCGGCCACAUUGGGACUGAGACACGGCCCAGACUCCUACGGGAGGCAGCAGUGGGGGAUAUUGCACAAUGGAGGAAACUCUGAUGCAGCGACGCCGCGUGAGUGAAGAAGUAUUUCGGUAUGUAAAGCUCUAUCAGCGGGGAAGAAAAUGACGGUACCUGACUAAGAAGCCCCGGCUAACUACGUGCCAGCAGCCGCGGACAUACGUAGGGGGCAAGCGUUAUCCGGAUUUACUGGGUGUAAAGGGAGCGUAGACGGCGACGCAAGUCUGAAGUGAAAUACCCGGGCUCAACCUGGGAACUGCUUUGGAAACUGUGUUGCUAGAGUGCUGGAGAGGUAAGCGGAAUUCCUAGUGUAGCGGUGAAAUGCGUAGAUAUUAGGAAGAACACCAGUGGCGA
rnacentral:rRNA from 1 species